rnacentral:rRNA from 1 species
UCCAGACUCCUACGGGAGGCAGCAGUGGGGGAUAUUGCACAAUGGGGGGAACCCUGAUGCAGCGACGCCGCGUGGGUGAAGGAGCGUUUCGGCGCGUAAAGCCCUAUCGGCAGGGAAGAAGGAGGACGGUACCUGACUAAGAAGCCCCGGCUAACUACGUGCCAGCAGCCGCGGUAAUACGUAGGGGGCAAGCGUUAUCCGGAUUUACUGGGUGUAAAGGGGGCGCAGACGGCAGCGCAAGCCAGGAGUGAAAGCCCGGGGCCCAACCCCGGGACUGCUCUUGGAACUGCGCGGCUGGAGUGCAGGAGGGGCAGGCGGAAUUCCUGGUGUAGCGGUGAAAUGCGUAGAUAUCAGGAGGAACACCGGUGGCGAAGGCGGCCUGCUGGACUGCGACUGACGUUGAGGCCCGAAAGCGUGGGGAGCAAACAGGAUUAGAUACCCCAGUAACA